GACGUAGGGGGCCAGCGUUGUUCGGAAUUACUGGGUGUAAAGGGUUCGUAGGCGGUGUGGCAAGUCGGGAGUGAAAUCUCUGGGCUCAACCCAGAGUCUGCUUCCGAAACUGCUGUGCUUGAGUGUGGGAGAGGCGCGUGGAAUUGCAGGUGUAGCGGUGAAAUGCGUAGAGAUCGGGAGGAACACCUGUGGCGAAGGCGGCCGACUGGGCCGACCCUGACGCUGAGGCGCGAAGGCGUGGGGAGCGAACGGG
rnacentral:rRNA from 1 species